rnacentral:rRNA from 1 species
UACGGGGUGAGCAAGCGUUGUUCGGAUUUACUGGGCGUAAAGGGCGCGUAGGCGGUCGUGACAAGUCACUUGUGAAAUCUCCGGGCUUAACUCGGAAAGGUCAAGUGAUACUGUCGGACUAGAGUACAGAAGGGGCAACUGGAAUUCUCGGUGUAGCGGUGAAAUGCGUAGAUAUCGAGAGGAACACCUGCGGCGAAGGCGGGUUGCUGGGCUGAUACUGACGCUGAGGCGCGAAAGCUAGGGGAGCGAACGGG